GUGUGGCUGUCGUAAAAACCCUAUUUGUAAACAACCAGCCCUUUAACUCGGGGCUGCGUCAUAAACACGGCGCGCUUGGAAGACCACGAUGUCAUCUUCCUUCUGUCAGGAGGAUCCAAGUGAAGCUACAGGAGUUUCAUUAACGUCAACAACUUGGACCAAACAGUUUGUUUUGCUUGAUGAAGAGCAGGAAGGGCAGCCUGGAGAGAAAGAGAAGCCGGGUUGAGCCCACUACCAUCAUCCACGUACCACGAGGAAGAUGAGGGAGAGAAAUGAUCCUACCAUUAAAGAGACUGUGAAAAGAACGUUGAGAACAUCACCACUCUACAGGAAGACACAGUCCAGUAAUGGGUGUCAGAAGUUCAGUAGUGAACGACAGAAACAAACAAUCCAAAUUACCUGCAGAAAGCCCUUGAUGGACGCUUCAGCUGCAUCGUCAGACUGGCAGUACUGAUGCAUUUACUGAGAGGGGACGUGAGGGCCUACUCUGCGUGCUCAGAGUUCAAGCCCAGCAGGCUGCAGCGGGCCUGACAUAUUCUGGAACAGCAGCACAGUCUUUGGAUGACUCCUCUGAAGAUGAAAACAUGGCGAGUUCUUCUCAAGAGAAGCAGUACAGGUGUGCCUCAGCUCCACGGUCCCUCCUGCAGCCUCCGCUCCUGAUGCUAACCUCAUGUCUCCAUCACACCAAGCAGCAGACCUGGAUUGACAGACCUUUCUCCAGAGCUGCCCCCUCCCUCUGAAACCCCCCUCUCCAAAACACUAUUUGUGUAGUUUUUAAAGUAUUUUUUGCAUGAGAAUUGUUGAUCAUAACAUUUCCAGCAGAUGCCUUAAU